AUUGUCAUUUCGUUUAGAAUCCUCCGCGGAGCAGUUCGUUGUCGCUCCAAGAGCUGUCACUUUUCCUGCUUCAGACGCGAAUUAGGAGAUAUUUUCUGAAAUAUCCGUUACCGUGUGGAUUUUGGCAAGCGCCGAGUGUUGGCCAGUUGGUCGCGAGUGAGGAAAUUGCUGUGUUUUCCGGGAAAUUGCCAUGAAAAGUCCAGCCAGGCUGGAGCGGUCGUCGACGUUUCGUGCAACCACAAAUCCCAGCUCUGCGUCGUGUGUAGCAACGCGGAAGGUUUCGCUGUGUUGCAACAUCGCAAAGUGAAAGUGUGUGCGUGUGUGUACUGAUGGAAUUUGGUCCUUGAUUUGCGAGUUUUCCGGGAAAAGAAGUUGAUUGUGCGUGAUUUCGUGACGCCCGUGGCGAGGUGCACGUCUGUUGCUUACGGGAGACCGUUUCCGGGCAAGGCUGCGUGAGGGACAGGCCCCCGGCCGUGCGUGACAUUUAACUGCACAACUGGCUCUCGCACAUUCUGACGUCGCGUAGUACCGCGCGGAUGUAUGCACUGCGGCGUGGAUGUGUUGGUCGCCGCCUGACAGAAAAAUCAAUUUCCAUGCAGGGGCGCAUUUGACAGUUGGCUGGCCGUUUCGUCGUCCUAACAGUUUCCGUUGUUGAAUGAGAAAAUUUCCGAUCCGUGGGUCCCUGCCUGCGAUAGUUUCCUAAUUAAGUGAUUGUCCCGGGAAAGGUGGAAAAUCGCGGCCGGUGCGAUUCGUGGAUGUGGCAGUGCAAGCGCCCGAACUGCAAGUUAAUUAGCGGCUGUGGCAGUGAAUUUGCGCGAGUGCGGGGGUGCUCCGGGCCCUGUGUUGUCUAGCGUAGUUUUCCGGGAAAGGUGAUUGCUUAUCGGCCGCCCAGGGCGUUUCUGUGAGGUGCGUGUGGCAUACGGUUUUGCGGAAGUGCACAUUUAGUCCGUGAAAAUGUUCAAUUUCAUGAAAAAGGGAGUAGGAGCCGGCGAACGCGGCGGGGAGAAGUCAGACCGCGAUGAAAAGGAGAAAAGGAAGCGCGACAAGAAGAUGCGGAAGGAGGCGGCGAAAGGUGUUUCCGGGAGCAUGAGUACUGAGGAGCUCCUGAGGCUGGAUGAGGUCAGACGAUCAUUAAAGAUACGUGGACGUCGUAAGGAAAAAGAAAAGCUACCAAGCGGUAUAACAGCAGAUUACAGUGCUGAAUUCUUUGCACACCUGGAUAUCGAUCGAUCUGAGAUUAGCGGCGGCAUAGAAAUGGACCGCGGCAAUGAAGAGAUCUUGGCAUCGGCAUCAACGACAAUCGUUGAUCAUCAAAAUGGUAGCGUUGGUGGACCAUUUAUGUCAUCAGGAACAGCUGGUGGUGGAUCGAGCGGUCUGCAAAGCUAUCCAGUAUCGCCGUCGAAUAAUUACAUUGGUGGCGUGCAUGGUUCACAUAUUCUUGGAACCGCGGCGAGUAUAUCACAUUCAGAUAGUUCGGAAACAUCAUUACAUUCCGGGAAUAAUUCAAAGCCUCGUUUUCUACCUCCAGUACCACCAAAGCCUCCAAAGCGCGGUAUCUUAAAAGGAUCACGCAGCAACAUUGCCAACAUAAAUGAAGAACCCACCUCAUCGCCUGAUUCAAAAGUCCUCCUAAUGCGAAACACUCUACAAAACGAGCUCCUUUUCGAAGAACUUCACAGACAGCAUCAUCACAAUCAACAAUUUACCUCAAUCGAAAGUCUUCGUAGCGAUGGUGGCGGCGAUAUCCCUCCAUCACACAUGGGUGCAAUAAACACAUCACACAUGAACAAUCUACAUGUAAUGACUUCGCCGUCACCAAGUGCCGAAAGCCUCACUGAUACAACGAAUUCAUCAUUUGCAACACCACCAUUCUCCUUAAGUCCGAUUGGUGAAUCACAAGGAAUCUAUCGAUGGUCACGUGUUCAUACAUUCGAAGAUGUCGAUCUACCCCUUCCGCCCAUCAAAUUGGUUAAACUGCCACCACCUCGAGAAUUUGCUAUUAAAAGACAGAAAUCGCCAAGAAAUGAUUUUGGAUUUAGUUUGCGCAAAGCUAUUUGUCUUGACCGUUCCGAAUCCCUUGUGGCACCGUCUUUCAAACCUGUAAUAUUCGCUGAACCGGGAGCUGGAGGUGGUGCAACAGGAUUACUUCCUGGCGAUCGAUUGUUGAAAGUGAACGGGACACCAGUUAGUGAUUUGCCGCGAGAAACUAUUAUCGAAAUGAUUAGAAACAGUGGAGACAGUGUUACGGUCGUGGUUCAACCAGUAGCCGAAUUAGUUGAACUAAGCCGUAGAUGUAUGGUGAACGGUGAAGAAGCUACUGAUGAGACAGACCGGGCUGCAAUUAAUGUCAACUGUAAUACGCUUAAAAGAAGUGCUAGUAGACGCUUCCGACAAGAGGCAAGACGAUCCGAUUCCGAUGACUCAGAUAUUCCAUCCGGUGAAAGUGUUUGGUUGGUACAUCGUGGAGGCUUUUCAACUGCCCUUCGAUUACCCGGAAAGGCAAACGAGAAUGGAAAGGUGACCAUUCAACUACUUCAUAACGGUGAACAAUUGAAUGUGGAUGAAGAUGACAUUGAAAAGGCGAAUCCACCAAAUUUGGAUCUUGUUGAAGAUAUUUGUCAACUUAAACAUUUGAAUGAGGCAUCAGUUUUGCAUUGUUUGAGACAACGAUAUGCCAGUAAUUUGAUUCAUACCAAGGCCGGUCCUAUUUUGAUUGUGGUGAAUCCAAUGGCACCACUGUCGCUGUAUUCUGAAAAGGUGGUGUCAAUGUUCCGUGGCUGCAAGACUGAGGAUAUGCCCCCACAUAUUUAUUCCUUAGCGCAAACUGCCUACAGGACAAUGUUGGAAACGAGACGUGAUCAAAGUUUGAUAUUUAUGGGCCGUUCAGGCUCGGGAAAGACAACAAGUUUCAAGCAUGCCCUCUACUAUUUGGCGCUAGCUGCUGGCUCUGUCAAUAAGCUGCUCAACGCGGAGAAAGUGAAUGCAGUCAAUACAAUCUUAGAGGCGUUUGGAAAUACAAAAACCUGCUUAAACGCAAAUGCAACACGCUUUACCCAGAUCUUAAGCUUAGAUUUUGACAAUACUGGACAGAUUGCAUCGGCAUCAGUUCAAGUUUUACUCCUUGAAAGAUCCCGGGCUGGAAAACGUACAAACAACGAAAGCACAUUCCAUAUUCUAACGCGACUCUUAGCUGGAGCCGAAGGAAUGUUGCAGAAAGAAUUGCAUCUAGAAAAUAUUUCGCCCGAGGACAACAAUCCAUUCGUUUCGUUAUCUCAGAAAUUAGAGGACAGGCAUAAAGCUGCAUCCGAGUUCUCCAGAACUGUCCAAGCAUUUGAAACCUUAAACGUGGACCCAGCAGCAGUUAAAGGAAUUUGGUGCAUUUUGGCUUCAAUUUAUCAUUUGGGUGUUGCAGGAGUUUCUAAAAUUGGAACUGGACCCACCUCACGUAUACAAUUUGGAAAUCCAUCAGCUGCCCGAAAAGCAGCAACAUUGCUUGGUGUCUCACUCGAAGAUCUACUAUUAUCCGCUUUUCCAUCGAAUUCCGCUGGCGGCUCGAGUCCAGCUCGAUCACCAACCGAAACACCCGAGUCCGCAUGGGAAAGCCUUGAAGGUCUUGUUAUCGGAUUAUAUUCAGAAGCUGUUGCUGCUGCAGUCGCUCUCAUCAACAAGAGCAUUUGCACUCCUGCUCAUACAUUUGCUUCAAUUCUACUAGUCGACACUCCAGGAUUCCAAAAUCCAGCUAGUUGUGGUGUUCAAUUGGGAGCUACUCUUUCCGAUCUGAAGCAUAAUUACUUACAAGAACGAUUGCAAUUGUUGUUCCAUCAUAUGACGUUGGUGGCUCCUAGGGAUCGUUAUGCGCAGGAACUUGUGGAGAUUGACACUGAAGGAUUAACGGAAACGUAUCCAGGCCCGCUGGUAUCCUUAAUUGAUAAAGCUCCACAAAGUCAUGUGGUUCGAACAUCUCAACGAGAUUUAAGAGAGCAGGACCGAAGAGGUCUUUUGUGGCUCCUUGAUGAAGAAUCCAUGUAUCCCAAUUCCAACGACGAUUCAUUCCUUGAGCGACUUUUCUCACACUACAGCGAUCGUGAGCACCAAGCGUUGAUACGUCGUGCAGCUGGUACUCGACAAUUUAUACUUCAGCACUUGCAAGGAACAAAUCCGGUUUUGUACUCGGCACAAGGAUGGCUAAAAUCUAGCCGGGAACAUCCUGCUAUCAAAAAUGCGGGAACAUUAUUGCAGGACAGUACAAAAGAUGAAAUCAGUCGCUUGUACGUUGGCACUUUGACACGGGGCAGUGGUGUAGUAUUUUACGGAUCUAUUGCUGGCUUGGAAGGUACACAGUCGUUGCGAAGAGUUUCCAGCAUUCGACGAUCCUUUACCUCAGCUGGUGUGAAGAGGAAUUCUGUAAUGUUGCAAGUUAAAUUUACCGUGGAUGGCGUGAUUGAUACAUUGCGCCGAACAGGAACGCACUUUGUUCAUUGUUAUUUGCUGCAACACAAUGGCGGCACGCAUUCUGUAGUUAGUUCCUCGCCAAAUCAGUCUAUAAAUGGUAGUGAAGAGAUGGUUAAUGUUCCUUUACUAAGAAGCCAGCUUCGUGGAUCCCAGGUCUUAGAAGCCGCUCGAUUGCAUAAAUUGGGCUUCCCAGAGCCUGUACCCUUAUCAGAGUUCGUAAGACGUUUUGGUUUGUUAGGAGAUGCAUCCAACAAAAAUUUGACGGUGGAACAAAUUCUAUCUGCAAAUGAAAUCGACUCAUCGCUGUAUCGAAUCGGUCCAAGUCAGGUGCUAUUUCGAUCAGGUGUACUUAACCAAUUGGAAGCGAAACGUGAUGAGCUACUAUCUGGUCGCAUUGUUCAAUUACAAGCUUAUUGCCGAGGAUACCUUGCUAGACGUCGAGUUACACAAAGACGCGUACAGGAGUUGGCUGUUCGUUGUAUACAAAGAAAUGUCAAAGCGUUCCUUGCCGUUCGCGAUUGGCCCUGGUGGCGUCUUCUGGUACGCGUUACUCCUCUUUUGAAUGUCCAUCGUACCGAGGAGCAACUUAAAAUUGCUAACGAUGAGCUACAAUCACUACGUGCCAAAUUGGAUAAAUCCGAAAAUGAUAGGAAUUCAUUAAAGACAGAAAAUGAUAAACUAGAAGCUAAGCUAUCCGAGAUGACGGUCGAUUUGGCUGAGGAAAGAUCCGCCGCAAAUAUCACUAGUGAACGGUUGGAAGCGGAAACUGCGGAACGCUUGAAGCUAGAGAAAGAGCUCCAAGAACAACAGACAAAAGUGAAGAAUUUACAGGAAACAUCUGAAAAGCUAGAAAUGGAGCUGAUUUGUGCCAAAUCAGAUUUGAACGGCAUUUCGGAAGAUGAAGAUCCAGAUAAUGAAGACUCCGGCGGCGUUUACAAACUGAAAUACGAGCGUACAGCCCGGGAACUGGAGUUCACCAAAAGACGUCUUCAAACCCAGCACGAACAUGAUUUGGAACAAUUAGUCGGACUCAAGAAACAAUUAGAAAAGAAGCUAGCGGACGCAUAUGAGGAAGUUGAAGAGCAACGACAAGUUGUGGGUCAGUGGAAGCGUAAAGCACAAAAGAUGACGAAUGAGAUGAACGACUUAAGAAUGUUACUGGAAGAACAAAAUAGUCGCAACAAUUUACUGGAGAAGAAGCAGAGAAAGUUCGAUUCGGAAUGUCAAUCGUUACAGGAUGCUGCUCGACAGGAACGACAAGCGAAGGAUCGAUUAGCUCGUGAAAAGGACGUAUUAAUUGCAGAGAAGUUCACUUUAGAACAAAACCUAGCGGACACUCGUCUUGAGCUUGAACUUAAGGAAGAGAAGUUAACCGCCCUGCAACGUGAACUCGAUGAAAUGACAUUCGGUGGAGGCACUGAAGAAGAAUUUGCUCAACUACGUCGAUCCAAACUCGACUUGGAACGACGCCUAAAAGAGCAAGAGGAGGAGCUGGAUGAAAUGGCAGGUCAAGUUCAGUUGCUAGAACAAGCGAAAUUACGGUUAGAAAUGUCUUUGGAAACUAUGCGAAAAGAAUCGAAACGCGAAGCACAGCAGAGAGAUGAUGAGUUAGAGGAAGCUCGAGGGAAUGCAUACAAGAAGAUCAAAGCCCUGGAAUGUCAACUCGAGACAGAACACGAAGAACGAACAUUACUUGUUCGCGAAAAACACGAACUGGAACGCCGUUUACAAGCAGCCGAAGAACAGGAUCGAGCCGAUCGACAAGCCGAAGAAGCAAUAAACCAAAAACUCAGACGUGACCUUCGUAAAUAUAAAGCUCUUUUGAAAGACGCCCACGCCCAACUUGAACGUGCUAAAGCCGAAUCGCCCGGUAAGGCUCUCAUCAGGCAGCUAAGAAAUCAAUUGGAAGAUGCCGAAGCAGCUCGUACAGUAGCCAUGAAGGCAAGACAGAGUGCUGAAGCGGAAUUAGCUGAAACGCAAACCUCUUACGAAGAAGCAGUUCGGGCGAAACAGGAUGCUGAAGAUCGUGCAGCUGCCGCUCAAAGAGAUCGAUCCGAAUUACAAGCACAAAUUGAAGAGAACGAAGAGGAAAUGGCUGAGUUGAUGAAAAAAUAUUCUGCGACUGUGAAGCAACUUAAUAAUGAACAGAGUGCGAUGUCUGAAUAUGAAAUUCGAAUAUCCGAACUGGAAGCUGAGAGGAGCUCACUGAAAGAACAAGUUUCGGAACUUCAGUCUCGACUUGAAAAUGUUGAAAAUCAGAGCGAUCCAUCAGCCGUAGUGCAUUCCAAACGACUUGAAUUGAGAACCAAAGAACUAGAAUCCCGCCUUGAACUUGAGCAAGCAACUCGUGCAAGGCUUGAAAUACAAGCUAAUCGACACAAAGACGCCCUUGAGAAGCUUCAAAAUGAAAUAUCGCAAUCAAAGGUUCGCGAAAUGCAAUCACAAGAUGCCGUUAAGAAAUCGCAGAAGAAUUUACGUGAACUUCGCGAGGAGCUACAUUCAAUAACAAAUCGUGAACAAGAGUCAGUCACGCGACGAAAGGAUUUGGAGAAGAGAUUAGAAGCAGCGGAAUCAGAAUGCACCUCAUUGAGGAAUGACCUACGCUUGGCUUUACAAAGAAUUGCUGACUUACAGCAAGCAAUGGAAGAAGGCGAUGAUGAUGAUGUUACCGAAAGCGACGAUAGUGAAAGCACCGAAGCAUCGAUGAGUGAUUUAGAGCAGCGACUUAGACCUAUACAGACCAAACGAAUGUUAGCAGUUUCGAUGACGAAAGACACUGCAAACGGUAUAAGUGAUACAACUUUAGUUAUAAGGGAAAGAAAAAGUGAUAAUAGUCCAAGAUGUGAUCUCCAUUCAUACCGGCAACUAGCUUCUCCACGAUCCAAUGAGAGCGAUAUAUCCGACACUGAAUCUUGAGAGAGUUGAAGCGCCUUAUGAUCAUGAAUAUUAUUUUCGUCUUCUACUUUGCUAGUUAGUCUUCACGAUUACAAUAACUUCACCGUCGACGACAUCGAUACCUGAUAUGUCACUGAAAAAUGGCGAUGCUUCCUAUGCAUAAAGUACGAGAAACUUGAUAUGAAAAUGUUUACAUUUACAUUGGACAAUUUAAUGGAACUUUUCAAAGUUGUUACAUAAUCGCAAGCAUUAUUUCUAUCGUUUAAAAAUUGAUUGAUCGUUUUUCAAUGAAUAUUAUAUCAAAUAAUCGAUAAUACAUUACAAGUGGGGAGAAACCAACUGGAAGCAAGAGGGCACCAUCGCUUCCUUUCAAGUUUACUGGGAAGUGAUGGUGUAGGCGUUGGUUCCCUGCUUCACUUCCGAGAUGUAAAUGGAACAAACUAUUUAUUCUAAAGUAUUAGAAAUAAUUACAGAUAUUUGUUGUUGCUUUGUAUUUUACAUGGGGACUGACCCGAUGUAUUCAAUGCCGUUAUUGAAGAACACCAGUCUAACAUCAAAACCAUUAUAAUAAAGAAAUACACCAACACUUGUAGAAGAUUGAAGGAGACUUAACCGUUUAAGCAGCCUUGAACUUUAUAGCAAUACAGUUUAUAAAUAUCGUCGUAUUAUACAUUAAAAUAUUUAAUAAUUUAGAAUUAAAAUGUAAAUGAAUAAAGUUGUUAUUUAAUUUUA